rnacentral:rRNA from 1 species
UGGGUAACCUGCUUCAAAGAGGGGAAUAGCCUCCCGAAAGGGAGAUUAAUACCGCAUAAUAUGUUUAAGUCGCAUGACUUUAACAUCAAAGGAUUUUCUUUUAGAACUUCCACUUUGAGAUGGACCCGCGACGCAUUAGCUAGUUGGUGAGGUACGGCUCACCAAGGCGACGACGGGUAGCCGGCCUGAGAGGGCGACCGGCCACACUGGGACUGAGACACGGCCCAGACCUCCGUACGGGGAGGCAGCAGGG